rnacentral:rRNA from 1 species
UACAGAGGGGGCAAGCGUUGUUCGGAUUUACUGGGCGUAAAGGGCGCGUAGGCGGCAAUUCAAGUCAUCUGUGAAAUCUCCGGGCUUAACUCGGAACGGUCAGAUGAUACUGCUUUGCUAGAGUGCAGAAGGGGCAAUCGGAAUUCUCGGUGUAGCGGUGAAAUGCGUAGAUAUCGAGAGGAACACCAGAGGUGAAGACGGGUUGCUGGGCUGACACUGACGCUGAGGCGCGAAAGCCAGGGGAGCAAACGGG